GAGGGUGUAGCUCGGCGGUAGAGCGUGCGCUUAGCAGGUAUGAGGGCCUGGGUUCGAUCCCCAGUACCUCCA
rnacentral:tRNA from 1 species